AGAAUGUAGUAUCUCACUCUGAGCAAAAAGGCCCCCAUCACCAGAUACUUGAGGGAAAGCUUCUAAUGUGAAAAAGACCAAAACAAAAAGCAGUAAACAAACACAGGAAAGAAAAACAGUUCAGAGAACAGUAGAAAACAUCUCCAAAAACUUCUUCACAGAAAUGAAUAUUGUCAGGAUAAAGUCCCUUAUUGAUCAACAACUGGAUUGUCUCCAAUUUCCAACUGCCACAAACAAAGUAGGAAAUUUCUGUAGGAUGAAGAUCCUGAAGUGUGAUGGAGUUGAUUAAGUGCUGGCAGAGUGCUCUCCAGAAUUGCUACCCCAAUCUACACUUCCAUCAUGGUACUUUGCAAUUCCUGUAUGAUUAUCAUAUACCUGCCACCCUUAGCACUAUCCAGCUUUUCAAUUCUGACUUUACUGAGAGGAAUAAAGUAAUAUUUUAUAUUUUC
rnacentral:lncRNA from 1 species